UUUUAAAGUGGAAUACGAAAGUAGUGUAUACACACGCUAUGACUCAAGCAAUCUUUUACGGUGAUGCGCAGUAUUUUCAGAGAAUUCCAAGAGCAACUGUUGACAGGGUCGGGAAACUUGUUCGAGAUGCGAAAUGGGGAUGGGGUUUGUGGCAUACUGACGAGUUCCGUCAAAUUAAGGCCAUGUUCACUUCUACUUAUGUUCCGUCCUUCUACCUUUGCCAAUGUGCAAAUGUUGUGGACCGACAAUGUCUCUGCCUAUGGCACAUUGAUGUGACUAAGGACGACAUAAAUAUAGACUGACUUAUGAGUACAGAAUCUGAGUAAACAAAGAAGUAGUAGUAGCAACUAAUACAUUUAAGACUUCAUCCUAAGACAUUCAAUAAUUCUUAUGAUCUCAGUUAUGUCUUUCUUCAUAUCAUCUAAUUCUGCUUUUAUAGCGGCCAAAUCCUACUCUAUCGUCGCGAGUUUGUUUGCCACAACUACAAACUCUUCAUCAUGUGCUUCAUCAAGCCAUUUGAAAACAUGGUUUUGACCCGAAUUUGCUCCACGUCGAUAAAAUCUUCUACCCGGAUUCUUUAUUGUACCUGACGUUAACACAAUGGUAGCAGCUCCACAGUCGCACGUUCUUGGAAUUCCACGCUGUAGAUCCAUCUAAUUUAUACAUCAUAGCACACAAAAAUAAUGCAAAAUCGAACAAGGCCAAAAUACAAAAAAUAAUUCAAAAUCGAUUUUGGACGAAAGAGACUUACUUUAGGUUUUAGAAGUCGACUCUGGUUUUUCCUUUAUCUUUUACUUGUAAAUAUUCGAAAUAUAAUAGAGAAAUCAUAUUAAAUAUAAAGAUCACGCGUGUCCAAAUAAAAUAAACAUAUAAUGACCUCGAUAUCGUAAAUUACUCGGACAUGCGUGUCAGGACAUAACUCGACACUGAGUUAAAUUAUGUAUGACUCUUUUGGUCAACUUUUAUUUUUCGACAUUAUUAAAUAUUAACAAUUUUACGGCUGAGGUUUAUUUUUCGGUAUUAUUAAUUAUUAACAAUGUUACGGCUGAGUUUUAUUCUUCGGCAUUAUUAAUUAUUAACAAUGUUACGGCUGAGUUUUAUUCUUCGGCAUUAUUAAUUAUUAACAAUGUUACGACUGAGUUUUAUUUUUCGGCAUUAUAAUUAUUAACAAUGUUACGGAUGAGUUCUAUUUUCCGGCAUUAUUUACUUUACACAAGGAAAAAAAAAAAUCAUUUUCGUCCCAACGCGAAAAAAAAAAGAAAAGCUCUCGACGAAAGGCGAUUUCGAAGCGUCUCGAUACGAAGGUAAAACCGAAGCCUCUCUUUUGCACAUUUGUGGAUUCAGCUUAGGUUCGAUGAUGUUUUCUUCCCAUUCUUUUCUUGUUUGCAGAUGCCUAAUUCGCACAAACCUCAUUUCUUGAAGCCUCUGCUUUCCGAUUUCUACAGUGGCGUGGUAGACACACACUCUCUAUUUCUCAUGUGUAUAUGUUCCUAUUUUAGAGUUUGCUUAACUUUGGCUUUUCUGACCUGCAGACAAUACCACUUGGCUUCUUCUCACAGCACAUAGAAGGGAAGACAAACCGGAAAACAUGGAAACUAAGAUCGGACGCUACAGAUCAAACUUGGGAAGUGAUACAAGAAGGCAGGAGACUCACCGGAGGUUGGAAAGAUUUCACCACAGCACAUGACCUUCAAAUCGGUGACAUUGUCAUCUUCAAACACGAAGGAGAUAUGGUGUUUCAUGUCACACCAUUUGGUCCUAGCUGUUGUGAGAUUCAGUAUACACAUCCUCACAUCAUCAAGGAAGAAGCCGAUGCGGAUGAUGCUCCUUCUUUCUCAUUUGACUAUUUUUUCAGGCUGAGGUCACUGCUUCGAAUCUAAAAGAAGACAAACUUUAUCUUCCUGAGGGAGCUACGACUUGUACUGCUUUGAACAAACAAUGCCAAGAGAUAAUACUUGUCAACAAAGAGGGAAAUUCAUGGACUGUGAGUUUGCGAUUUAGCGAAGCAGACGGCAUGUAUUACAUCAGAAGAGGCUGGAGAAAGUUUUGUCGUGCUAACAGAUGCACCAUAGGAGACUUAUUUGUGUUCAAUGUGGUUGGAGAUGGGAAAACUACUCCAUUAAUGUGUGUAUGUCCGGAAAGGGAAGAGUGAUUUUGAACCUAAACUUAUGUAUGUCGAACCAGAAAUUUAUGUAUGUCUCUUUUUAUGGCUGACUAAUAUUCAUAUUAUGGUUGAGUUAUUGUUUAUGUUAUUGUUUGAUUAUGACUGACUUCCACUGAACGUUAUAGCUGAGUUACUAUCUUAUUAUGACUGACGAAUACUCAUAUAAUGGCUGGGUUAUUGUUUGAUUAUGACUUAAUUAACGUAACGGCUGAGUUGCAGUGAACGUUAUAACUGAGUUAUUAAAACAUUAUGACUGACGAAUACUCAUAUUAUGGCUGGGUUAUUGUUUGAUAGUGACUUAAUUAACGUAACGGCUGAAUUGCAAUGAACGUUAUAACUGAGUUAUUAAAACGUUAUGACUGACGAAUACUCGUAUUAUGGCUGGGUUAUUGUUUGAUUAUGAAUUAAUUAACGUACUGGCUGAAUUGCAUUGAACGUAAUAGCUGAGUUACUAAAAACAUUGCGUCUAAAUUAUGAUUACAACACAUGACUACGCAAAGAAAUAGUGCCAAAAUAUGGCCAUACCAAACCCACAAACCACCACUGGAAACAUCAAACACUUCAUCUUUUCCGCUUUACCGAGUUCUUUCUCCAACCGACCAACGUGUACUCUCAGAUCUGAUAUGCCUUUGGUCAUGUCACUCAUCACCGAUUUCAUAUCUUCUACCUCUUCCACCAAGCACUCGUCCGCCCAUUUGAAUAAAUGUCUCUGAUUUCACCAACAUGCCCAGCUCUUAGUAUCACAUUGACAGUAUAAUGAAUAAAAUUAAAAAUCAAACCUUAAUAUAUCCUUUGCGACAGCAAUAGUACAGUCUUCCUGGAUUAGCCCGUGAUGCAGAUGUACAUAAUUCAGCGGGUUCACCACACCAACACUGUUUCGGCGUUCCUCUUUCCACAUGCCGGCGGUGAAAGUAAGUGUUACCAGACACAGAUGAUGAAGAAGACAUUUUCUUUGAAUGAAAGAGAAAUUGGUGUGAAAGACAAAGUUAAACAAUAGUGGUAGUAAUAUAAAAUCAUUUUUUUUAAAAAAUUCAAAUAAAGAGGAAUAAUUUAAAUUAAUAAACUAUUAAAUGCCUCGAUAUUAGGUUUGAGCCGUAUUUUUCCACACACUUGAUGCACUUUAAUUAUUACAGAACUCAAUCAAAUCAAGAAAUACGAAAGGUUCUUUAUUAUUUUAUCAAACACUUAAGUUGAAUUCGUAUUACGGCUGUGUUAGCGUCUAUAUUUUGGCUGAGUUAACGUAGACGUAUUGACUGAGUUACAUUAAAAAUAACAAUACCUCGAUUAUGUAAAUAAUCCAAUACAUGCGUGCCAGCCGUAUAAUAAUGAGUCUUAAUUAGUAUUACGGCUGAGUUACUUAACUGAAACACUGACGUUUGACGCAAACAAUUCCGGCUGAGUUAAACAACUUUAUAAAACCUUAACGGCUGAGUUAAACAACUUUGUAGAAACUUAACGACUGAGUUAAACAACUUUAUAGAAACUUAAUGGCUGAGUUAAACAACUUUAUAAAAACUUAACAGCUGAGU